GCCAAACUGCAGACAGAUGAUGCGCCACACUGGCAGCAGAAUCCCUCUGUGCACCAAAAAUCCAUUUCUCCCACUCAAGGUAUUUUUAAAUGCUCUCAGGGAUUCCAAUUUGUCUUACAAUCCUGGCACGGGUAUUACUGAAGAGCAGAUAGCAUGAAAAUAGAAUCACGGGUGCUCCUAGCUCUGUUAACCUGUACUGAUGGAGGUGGUAAAAUGUUCCCAGAAAAGCAAAAUGGAAAGCAAACAGAUUUCCCUGCGCUCUGCCCUGCAUGGAUGGACCCGCUGCAAGGUAACGUGAAGGAAUAGUGGAAGAACACUCUUGUGGGUAUGAGCUGAACUUAGGCAAAGUUGCAUGAAACUACUUUGUAAUUAGAGCUCUCUUCUGCUUAUUAGUUAAUUAAGCUCCACUGUGGUCUUUUAAGCAGUCAGUAGCAUUUGUCUGUGCUUGCCUCAUGAGUUUUAGCCUGGCAUCGGUGCGCGAUAUCAUCCCCACCUGUAGGUACAUCACAUUAUAGCUGACACUUUUAACAUGUUUUAGCAUGCUUUGGGAGGAAAGGUGAGUUUUUACGAUGACCUGUAGUAAAGUUACAGUCACUCAGUUGGUUGAAAGGUAUUUUUUUGUUUGUUUUGAUUGAGUAUAUAGUUUCCGCAAACAUCAUGGUGAAACGCAGGCUUUGUUGCUAUUUUUCAGUUUUAUGCAGAAAGCUGGAAUGAAUCAUAAAAUAAAUUAAAAAAAACCCUGAUGCUCUCUGCCUUGCAUCAAUUUUAGCAGUCGUGCAUCAUUUACAGUUACUUGUGAAAGCUGUUGGUCAAGUACUUGAUUCCUCCCCUGUAUGGGUCAGGUUUCCCGGCUAAUUGCAUCUCCAAGAUGCGCUGUGCCUCCUCAGGAGCCGUGUCGGAGAAGCACUGUUUAGAGAGUUCACAGAGCCUGAGAAAUCUGCAGACCACAGGCUGAAAACCACCGAUCAGCAAGGCUGGGUGCAAUAACUUGUCAAGCCUGCAAAUCGUUUCCUUCGGAGACAAACUCCAUUAUGCUUUAUGACUCUCAACUCGUCUGUUUGCCAAGAGGCUCAUAGAGCAUCCUAUUGUCAGAGCUCAUCCAAAGGAACACAAGAGGGCCCCCAGCUGAAAGUGUUUGGAUCCUGGAAGAGCAUGAGGGGAAUAACGCAACAUAUACCUACAUUCCUGCAUAGAAAUCGGCAUUUGACUACU